rnacentral:rRNA from 1 species
GAUGAACGCUGGCGGCGUGCUUAACACAUGCAAGUCGAGCGAAGCACUUAAGAAUGAUUCUUCGGAUGAAUUCUUUUGUGACUGAGCGGCGGACGGGUGAGUAACGCGUGGGUAACCUGCCUCAUACAGGGGGAUAACAGUUAGAAAUGGCUGCUAAUACCGCAUAAGACCACAGUACUGCAUGGUACAGUGGUAAAAACUCCGGUGGUAUGAGAUGGACCCGCGUCUGAUUAGGUAGUUGGUGAGGUAACGGCACACCAAGCCGACGAUCAGUAGCGAACCUGAGAGGGUGACCGGACACAUUGGGAAUGAGACACGGCCCAGACUCCUACGGGAGGCAGCAGUGGGGAAUAUUGCACAAUGGGCGAAAGCUUGAUGCAGCGACGCCGCGUGAAGGAUGAAGUAUUUCGGUAUGUAAACUUCUAUCAGCAGGGAAGAAAAUGACGGUACCUGACUAAGAAGCCCCGGCUAACUACGUGCCAGCCGCCGCAGUAACAC